AUUGAACGCUGGCGGCAGGCCUAACACAUGCAAGUCGAGCGGAUGAAGGGAGCUUGCUCCUGGAUUCAGCGGCGGACGGGUGAGUAAUGCCUAGGAAUCUGCCUUGUAGUGGGGGAUAACGUCCGGAAACGGGCGCUAAUACCGCAUACGUCCUGAGGGUGAAAGUGGGGGAUCUUCGGACCUCACGCUAUCAGAUGAGCCUAGGUCGGAUUAGCUAGUUGGUGGGGUAAAGGCCUACCAAGGCGACGAUCCGUAACUGGUCUGAGAGGAUGAUCAGUCACACUGGAACUGAGACACGGUCCAGACUCCUACGGGAGGCAGCAGUGGGGAAUAUUGGACAAUGGGCGAAAGCCUGAUCCAGCCAUGCCGCGUGUGUGAAGAAGGUCUUCGGAUUGUAAAGCACUUUAAGUUGGGAGGAAGGGCAGUAAGUUAAUACCUUGCUGUUUUGACGUUACCAAAAGAAUAAGCACCGGCUAACUUCGUG
rnacentral:rRNA from 1 species